ACUUAAAUUGAAGAGUUUGAUCAUGGCUCAGAUUGAACGCUGGCGGCAGGCCUAACACAUGCAAGUCGAGCGGUAACACAGGGAGCUUGCUCCCGGGUGACGAGCGGCGGACGGGUGAGUAAUGUCUGGGAAACUGCCUGAUGGAGGGGGAUAACUACUGGAAACGGUAGCUAAUACCGCAUAACGUCGCAAGACCAAAGAGGGGGACCUUCGGGCCUCUUGCCAUCAGAUGUGCCCAGAUGGGAUUAGCUAGUAGGUGGGGUAAUGGCUCACCUAGGCGACGAUCCCUAGCUGGUCUGAGAGGAUGACCAGCCACACUGGAACUGAGACACGGUCCAGACUCCUACGGGAGGCAGCAGUGGGGAAUAUUGCACAAUGGGCGCAAGCCUGAUGCAGCCAUGCCGCGUGUAUGAAGAAGGCCUUCGGGUUGUAAAGUACUUUCAGCGGGGAGGAAGGUGCUGAGGUUAAUAACCUCAGCAAUUGACGUUACCCGCAGAAGAAGCACCGGCUAACUCCGUGCCAGCAGCCGCGGUAAUACGGAGGGUGCAAGCGUUAAUCGGAAUUACUGGGCGUAAAGCGCACGCAGGCGGUCUGUCAAGUCGGAUGUGAAAUCCCCGGGCUCAACCUGGGAACUGCAUUCGAAACUGGCAGGCUAGAGUCUUGUAGAGGGGGGUAGAAUUCCAGGUGUAGCGGUGAAAUGCGUAGAGAUCUGGAGGAAUACCGGUGGCGAAGGCGGCCCCCUGGACAAAGACUGACGCUCAGGUGCGAAAGCGUGGGGAGCAAACAGGAUUAGAUACCCUGGUAGUCCACGCCGUAAACGAUGUCGACUUGGAGGUUGUGCCCUUGAGGCGUGGCUUCCGGAGCUAACGCGUUAAGUCGACCGCCUGGGGAGUACGGCCGCAAGGUUAAAACUCAAAUGAAUUGACGGGGGCCCGCACAAGCGGUGGAGCAUGUGGUUUAAUUCGAUGCAACGCGAAGAACCUUACCUACUCUUGACAUCCAGAGAACUUAGCAGAGAUGCUUUGGUGCCUUCGGGAACUCUGAGACAGGUGCUGCAUGGCUGUCGUCAGCUCGUGUUGUGAAAUGUUGGGUUAAGUCCCGCAACGAGCGCAACCCUUAUCCUUUGUUGCCAGCGGUUAGGCCGGGAACUCAAAGGAGACUGCCAGUGAUAAACUGGAGGAAGGUGGGGAUGACGUCAAGUCAUCAUGGCCCUUACGAGUAGGGCUACACACGUGCUACAAUGGCGCAUACAAAGAGAAGCGACCUCGCGAGAGCAAGCGGACCUCAUAAAGUGCGUCGUAGUCCGGAUUGGAGUCUGCAACUCGACUCCAUGAAGUCGGAAUCGCUAGUAAUCGUAGAUCAGAAUGCUACGGUGAAUACGUUCCCGGCCUUGUACACACCGCCCGUCACACCAUGGGAGUGGGUUGCAAAAGAAGUAGGUAGCUUAACCUUCGGGAGGGCGCUUACCACUUUGUGAUUCAUGACUGGGGUGAAGUCGUAACAAGGUAACCGUAGGGGAACCUGCGGUUGGAUCACCUCCUUACCUUAAAGAA
rnacentral:rRNA from 1 species